rnacentral:rRNA from 1 species
UACGUAGGGUGCAAGCGUUGUCCGGAAUUAUUGGGCGUAAAGAGCUCGUAGGCGGUCUGUCGCGUCUGCUGUGAAAACUCAGGGCUUAACCCUGAGCUUGCAGUGGGUACGGGCAGACUAGAGUGCGGUAGGGGAGACUGGAAUUCCUGGUGUAGCGGUGAAAUGCGCAGAUAUCAGGAGGAACACCGGUGGGCGAAGGCGGGUCUCUGGGCCGGUAACUGACGCUGGAGGAGCGAAAGCCAUUGGGGAGCGAACAGG